rnacentral:rRNA from 1 species
GACGAACCGUGCGAACGUUAUUCGGAAUUAUUGGGCGUAAAGGGCGCGUAGGCGGCCUGGCAAGUGGAAGGUGAAAUCCCUCGGCUUAACCGAGGAACUGCCCUCCAAACUGCUUGGCUUGAGUCCGGGAGAGGUGAGUGGAAUUCCCAGUGUAGCGGUGAAAUGCGUAGAUAUUGGGAGGAACACCAGUGGCGAAGGCGGCUCACUGGACCGGAACUGACGCUGAGGCGCGAAAGCGUGGGGAGCAAACGGG